AUUCCUGCCUGGGAGGUUGUGGAAGAAGGAAGAUGGCCAGAGCUUUGUGUCCACUGCAAGCCCUCUGGCUUCUGGAGUGGGUGCUGCUGCUCUUGGGACCUUGUGCUGCCCCUCCAGCCUGGGCCUUGAACCUGGACCCAGUGCAGCUCACCUUCUAUGCAGGCCCCAAUGGCAGCCAGUUUGGAUUUUCACUGGACUUCCACAAGGACAGCCAUGGGAGGGUCAGUUGUAUGAACCACUCCACCCUCAACACCUUGAAAUGCAGAGAGGAGGCCGGGCGCGGUGGCUCAUGCCUGUAAUCCCAGCACUUUGGGAGGCCGAGGCGGGCAGAUCACCUGAGGUCGAGAAUUCGAGACCAGCCUGACCAACAUGGAGAAACCCCGUCUCUACUAAAAAUACAAAAAAAAAAAAAAAAAAGAGACCAGGCACAGUGGCUCACACCUGCAAUCCCAGCACUUUGGGAGGCAGAGGUGGGCAGAUCAUGAGGUCAGGAGUUCAAGACCAGCCUGGCCAAUAUGGUGAAACCCUGUCUCUAUUAAAAAUACAAAAAUUAGCUGAGCGUGGUGGCACACUCCUGUAGUCCCAGCUACUCGGGAGGCUGAGG
rnacentral:lncRNA from 1 species